CCCAGCCCUGCCCCUGUACAGUCCAGUACUCCCGGGCACCCCCUCCCAUCUUUCGGGGAUGGUGUCCAGCGGCUGAAGGGUCCCGCCGCCCGACAGCGCCCAGGGUCACGGGCGGGGCGGUUCCCGGGCUGUACCUGCGGCUGCCCAGCCGCGGGGCUGGCUGGGAGGCGCGAGUUGUCAGGUGCCGAGCUCCGUCCGCCGUCCGCCGCUGCUGCGCGCUUGGCCAGCCCGCCCGCCCGCUCUCGGGGUAGGGCUCGAUUCGGACUCAGCUGGCUCCCUCCGCCCGCCCGCGGCUCUGAUGUCAGAGGAGGAGGAGCCUGCGGCGGAGGGACUAGGGACUGGGAGAGUGAUCUCCUCUACCUGGCAGGAAGCAUGGUGUGAGGCAGCCCCAACUUUCCAACUGAACCCAGCAAAAGAGGAGCUAUACCCAGUUUCAUGUAUCAGUCUCAGGGAGGGACUCCGAUGGGCUCUGCUGGAGAGACAUGCCUAUGCCUUUACCCCCAGAACUGUUGCCAGAGGAAUAAGGUACUAUACAGGGUAAGUGUACUGUCAUGGGCAGCCACACCAAAGUCACAGGGGAUGAAGAUGGCUAUCCUGCCCAAAGGAAAUAGCAGUCCUGGGCAGGCACAACUAACAAAUCCAUCCCAGCCGUGCUUCCAUCAGUCAGAAAAAAAACGGCGUUAAUAUGUCUUGGUACAUAUUCUUCCAGACUUUUUUUGAUGUGUAUACAUAUACACACUUCCUCCUACAGCCUGCACUUCCAGUGAGCAUAUUUCAAGGUACUGAAGCAAAAAGUCAAGGAAAGUCAAAUAUAUGAAAAAAAAAAAGUAAAGGAAAUAAUCCUCUUCUCUCUUUUGUUAUUAAAAAAUGACAAAACAA